CUCAUGGAGACCUCCUCUCCCAACCCUACAUGGAGGCCAAUGUACACCGCUGCACCUGAAAGCUUGCUAAAUUUUGGGCAAUUCCCUCCAAUGCAUCCUUAUAAUUUUCGACCUCCGCCGGUCCACUAUCCAGAACAAGGACACGGCAAUUUGGAGAAUUUGCACUUUGUUUGGGCUUCUCCACACGAUUCCUUUUCAACACCACCACCGCCACCGCACCCUAAAGUCGCAUCUCGGUCUGGUCCUGCAAAAGUGGAUUCGACAUCUUCCAAAAAGAAAAGGAAGACCAUCAAUGUAGAUGAAGAAGAAUUGGGAGAAAGGACCGCAUAUCGUCUGCCCUAUACACCCGAGGAACAUGACAGACUGGCUGGUGCUUGGCUAGAGUGUUC